rnacentral:rRNA from 1 species
ACUCCUACGGGAGGCAGCAGUGGGGAAUAUUGCACAAUGGGCGAAAGCCUGAUGCAGCGACGCCGCGUGAGUGAGGAAGUAUUUCGGUAUGUAAAGCUCUAUCAGCAGGGAAGAAAGAAAUGACGGUACCUGAGUAAGAAGCUCCGGCUAAAUACGUGCCAGCAGCCGCGGUAAUACGUAUGGAGCAAGCGUUAUCCGGAUUUACUGGGUGUAAAGGGAGCGUAGGCGGCAGAGCAAGUCUGAUGUGAAAGCCCGGGGCUCAACCCCGGUAGUGCAUUGGAAACUGUUCAGCUUGAGUGUCGGAGGGGUAAGCGGAAUUCCUGGUGUAGCGGUGAAAUGCGUAGAUAUCAGGAAGAACACCGGAGGCGAAGGCGGCUUACUGGACGAUUACUGACGCUGAGGCUCGAAAGCGUGGGGAGCGAACAGGAUUAGAUACCCUUGUAGUCCU